ACCCGCUGAACUUAAGCAUAUCAAUAAGCGGAGGAAAAGAAACCAACAGGGAUUGCCUUAGUAACUGCGAGUGAAGCGGCAAAAGCUCAAAUUUGAAAUCGGUGUCCAUAAAGUACAUCGAGUUGUAAUUUGGAGGGACAACUUCGGGGCGAACCACACCGUAAGUUUUUUGGAACAGGACAUCAUAGAGGGUGAGAAUCCCGUGUCUUGGUGUAGGGUCAAACCAUGUGAAGUGUCUCCGACGAGUCGAGUUGUUUGGGAAUGCAGCUCAAAAUGGGUGGUAAAUUUCAUCUAAAGCUAAAUAUUGGCGAGAGACCGAUAGCGCACAAGUAGAGUGAUCGAAAGAUGAAAAGCACUUUGAAAAGAGAGUUAAAAAGUACGUGAAAUUGUUGAAAGGGAAGCGCUUGCGACCAGACUCGAUCUUUGGAGAUCAGCCGGGCUUCUGUUCGGUGCCCUCUCCAUCGAUUGGGCCAGCAUCGGUUCUGACGGUGGGAUAAAAGGAGGAGGAAUGUAGCUCCUCUCGGGGAGUGUUAUAGCCACCUUCACAAUGCUACCAGUUGGGACCGAGGACCGCGCUUCGGCUAGGAUGCUGGUGUAAUGGUCUUAAGCGACCCGUCUUGAAACACGG
rnacentral:rRNA from 1 species